rnacentral:lncRNA from 1 species
CUAUUCCUAUCUGAGUUUGACACCUCUGUGCUGGACCAGACUCAUUCAAAGAAACACAGAGAACAAAAUUCAGAGAAAGCUUUUCCUAUCCCUUUUACUCUAGAUCCAGUGCUCUGCCCAUCACUCUAUGUUGGUGUUAUUCUAUAGAGAAACUCCAUAGUAAAAGAUUAGAACUCGCUGUUGCUCAGUCUUUUUUUUUCAGUCGUGUCAGACUUGUCAUGACCCCUUUUGAGGUUUUCUUGGCAAAGAUACUGGGGUGGUUUAACAUUUCCUUCUGCAGUUUAUUUUACAGAUGAAGAAACUGAGGCAAACAGGGUUAAGUGACUCGCUCAAGGUCACACAGCUAGUGUUUGAGGCCAGAUUUGAACUCAAGAAGAUGUAUUUCUGACUCCACGUCUUGGACUUUAUCUACUGUGCCACUCAGCUGCAAGGACCUUAAAAAUCAUAUCAAUACAUGGGAAAACAGAAAAACAACCCCCAAACUGAAUGACCGAGCCUUCCCUCCCAGCCACACUCCCUACUUCAGAGCUGCUCUGGGCACAUACUCAGGGCUGCUCUGGGGCCGUUGCCCUCUCCUGACAUUUGGAGAGAGGAGCUGGGAAGAAGAAGGAGGGGAUAAGGAAAUGAAUGCUGCCAGAAGGGCUGCCCCAAUCUGUGGUCACCGGGUGCCAAGAGAGAUGGUAUUUUCAAGGCAGAUGGUUUAUAUGCAUUAUCACCCAUUAUCCCUCCUACUGGACUCCCAAAACGUCCCAGAAGCUUGUGGAGGCUGCUUUGGCAGCAGUCAGGCAAGAAUGAGGAGGGAGCCCUCAUCCUGACCUUGAGAAGGAACAGACCAGGAGCAGAUUAGCAAGGAAAGGGAAAAAGGGCAAAAUGGGAGUAGUUGUCCCCUUGCCCUGGCAGGGAGCAUAACAGAUGGAGCCAGACCAUGAAGAAGACAGACAACUACCCGGGAAAUAACUGGACCAUCAGGGCUGGCCAAAUUGAAAACAACAUAGCAUAAAGGACAUAGCACUGCACAGAUCUCUUGAUUCCAAUUUCUGUUACUCCUUAAGUUGGGCAAACCUCUUUCCCUUUAACCUCAUUUUCUUCUUCCAUAAAAUAAGGGAAUUGAGCUAGAGGAGAUCUGUAGCCCCUUUCAAUUCUGAAAUCCUAUGAUGGUACAAAGGGAGACAGCAGGAAAUACUGGAAAGACUGCUGAACUUGGG